AUCGUGAGGUGUGGGAGAGAAGAAGCAAUAGCGAAAUCGUAGCCUGACGAACAGAAACCUAAUACAAAGGCUCAUAGAAUGGAUAAGCUGGCUGAAAGUAGUGAAGUCCAAAACGACAAACGUAAAAUUUUAUGGGUAAAUUAGGCAGGCAGACGAGGAAAGAUU
rnacentral:ncRNA from 1 species